AAGUAGAAAGUAUAGAGAAAAACUGAAGAGAGAGAGGCCUGAAGAAUAUGAGAGACAAAGGAUAAAUAGUUUAAUCAGAAGUCUUUCUAAGAAGAAAAAAAUUGCCGAAAUGUCCAGGGAUGAAGUUAUAAAACAGAGAAUCGAAUGGAGAAAAGCGAAAAGAGCCAGUAAAUUUAAAAGAACAAGACAUAGGAACAACUGAAUUCAAUUAAAAAAACUAUGAUGUAAAAGAAAAAAAUAAUAAUACUUAAACCAUUUAUAAAGCAUUGGCUGCGUAAUGUUAGUUUUUUCUACAAGUCUUAUUAUGUAAACAAUCUUACUGUGUCUUUUUAUUUUACAUAGUAAAUGUAUAGGUUUAAACUAACAUUUAGUAUAUAUUUUUUUAAAUCCAACAAUAUGUACAUAUAUGUGUUAAGAUUGUUUACGUGUUAGGAAAAAACUGACUUUAGACGAGUGCGUUAAAAUACCAUACAAAAAAUACCAUAUUUUUUUAACAUCAGUGUGCACCGGCCAUAACAGAAAUUCAAGUUUUCUAAGAGCAGACAAAUUCGAAAAUUAAAAAAAGUUAAGUUAACAUGGAAGUUUCAAUUUUCAUUGCUUUGUAGUAAAUAUGUGUUUAAAGAAAGAAUUUAUCUUUUUUAUUUUUUGAUCAGAAUCAAUCUGUAUCAAAAUAUAUACUUGAAAAUUUCCUUAUGUUGAGAUGGUUAUACUAAUAGAUACAAUACUAUUACUAUCUAUACAGAUAAUAGACUGAUAAACUAAAAAUUUUUCCACUUUACUUUUACCGAAAUCUCCCAAGAGCUUUAUUUGUAAUUAUUACUUUUAUAUUAGUUUUUAUACUCAUUUUGGUUUACCUCAUUUUCUCCUUUCUUGAAAUGGAAGUGGAUUCCCAGAGUGGAAUCUCUCAUCGACUCAUCGUAUAAAAGUGACCGAUGUGAAAAAAAUACGUUUGAAAAAAAUAAACCCAGUUUCGUCCGACUGUUAUUGGUUUACAGGCAUGCAAUAUUCGCUCAUCAAAGUUGAGCUCUAAAUAAAUAACUAUUUCAGAGUUUCAUGUAGAAUUCGUGACCUCCAGUAGAGGAAACAUGAUGAUCCAGGUAGGCCAGUACAAGUUCAGCCUGAACCAGAAGCCUAACAACCAUUCGAAGAGGAAGAGAUGGCUGUGCACGAGAUGGUCCCGGGGCUGCCGAGCUAAACUGAUCACCGUGGAAGACACUGUCAUCAAAGUGGAUAAUUGCCAUACACAUUAGAUAACAAUAGCUUUUUACAGUAAACCUUGACUUUGAAAGAUGUCAUGUAUGUAUUUUUUCAUUAACCUGACUAAUACGUCGUAUGUCUGGUACCUCUAAUUGGCGUUGAAUUGGUCUUGUAGACAUUGCCUUAUUUUUUAAAUCUUAUAAGAAUUGGAUGUAUAGCAGUGUGUUAUUUUAUUUUACAACCAAAAUUAUCCAAAAGUAUUGGUCAUUCGUCAUCAAAUCAUAUUUGGUUCGAUUAUAAAGGUCAAAUAUAAUAUUAUUUUUCCUUGCAGGAAUUCACUUCAUGGCAGCAAUCAUGCAGUCUUCACUACCAGGAUCGCAUACUGCUAUCUUAAAGAAAUCAGUGCGCGGUAACCCAGUUUUGGAGUACGACGGAGUAAGAUAUUCCUUGUCUAAAGAAGUCGGAUACAGGAGACACUGGCGCUGCAUCAAGUGGUCCAAGGGCUGCCGAGUCGCUCUCACCUCCCAUGGAACUACCAUUGUCAAAACUAUAAACGAACAUACACACUGAAGUAGUCUAAUUAGGUAGAAUUUACACUUUGAAAUUAUAGAAAUUUGCGUGAGAGUGUCAUGUGACCCUAGUUUGUACCUAUAUGAUUUUGAGUCUGGAUUCCAUAUUGAUUCAGCUUAUCUUGUUAGUCAACUAUAUUGUGUUCUUUUAUUUUGUAUUUAUAUCAUUCAUAUUUUUUAAAUACAUUUAUUGAAGGUC